rnacentral:rRNA from 1 species
UACGAAGGGGGGCUAGCGUUGUUCGGAAUUACUGGGCGUAAAGGGCGCGUAGGCGGCUCAUCAAGUCAGGGGUGAAAGCCCGGGGCUCAACCCCGGAACUGCCUUUGAAACUAGUGAGCUAGAAUCUUGGAGAGGCGAGUGGAAUUCCGAGUGUAGAGGUGAAAUUCGUAGAUAUUCGGAAGAACACCAGUGGCGAAGGCGACUCGCUGGACAAGUAUUGACGCUGAGGUGCGAAAGCGUGGGGAGCAAACAGG